GGCUCUGUGGUGUAGUGGUAAGGAGCAGGGCUUAUAUCCGAAAGGUUGCUGGUUCGAUUCCCCCCUGGGGCA